GCUGCAACAAUCGGUUUGCUGUCUCAGAGAAGCUCAUCUGCAUACUCGUCGUCCUUAUCGGUGUCUCGACCUGACUGCAGUUCGUCAUCAUAAUCGAUUUGAGUGGGCAAAUGCUCACAUUUGAUGGCAUUUUUGAGAGGUGUUCUCUUCACGGAUUAAUCCCAGUUUUUACUGUACAGGGCAGAUGGCAGACAGCUUGUAUGGCGUUGUGUGGGUGAGCGGUUUGCUGAUGCUCUGGAUCAGCGUAUACGGCAGCGUGUUCCAGGUCCUGCCAAC